rnacentral:misc_RNA from 1 species
UUUCCGUAGGUGAACCUGCGGAAGGAUCAUUAUAAAUGAAAAACGAAUAACUUCAGGGAAGAAGGGAACCUGCACGGUGACCUCCCCUGUCGGGCCACCCAAUACCUUCAAAAUGCCGCCGUCCUAGCGGUGGCAGACGAAAAAAAAACAAGAAAAACAAAAUAGAAACAGGCACGGUGGCCCGUUCACCUUCACACAACCCUCCGAGUACCGCUUCCAUGUUGCUUCCCCCCAAAUCCACCUCUUUGGUGAGCGCGGGGGAGGUCCGCAUCAAAUUCACCUGAAUGUCACAGCAGUCAGACAGCCAUUCAUGGAAACAAUAAAACUUUCAACAACGGAUCUCUUGGUUCCC